CUGGCUAAGACCAACUACAGUAUAAGGUCCUCACAACUGAGCAUAUGAAGAGCACCUUUCCUCAAAGACCCACCAUAAGGCAGGUGGAGCAUGGGGCUCAGGUUCUAAAUCAUCUUGUGGCUAUAUUGCUCCUCAGCCCAGAUCUCUGCUGUUAUGUGUCCAUGAGAUGCCUAACUCUGCUUGAGAAAGCAACGGAAUGAGGGAACCAAAGUGUCCUUCUCCUGAGCAGUCCUAGAGAUUGGGUUGUGAGUAGGUCACUAGCAUAACUCUGGGGAAUGGAUCAGUUCUUAGAAUGAUGCUGCUGCCAAGGCGAGGCAUGUUAUCCCAAAUCUCAGUGGCUGUUACAAGAGGAGGAGACUACCCAACUGCCUUGUUUGGAACAUGACCCAUGUUGGCCAAGUAUCUCUCUGCCCAGUGAGUACACUAAGGGUGGCAGGGUCGAGAGUCGAUUGGCACAGGGCAGCCAGCGUGUGACUGUGGGCACCAGCAGGAGACAGCACCAGCUGUGGCAUCUGCAGUAGCCGCCACCUUGACUGCCAGCCCUGCCGCUUCAGCAGCAGGCACCUCCAUGUCCUUGGAAGGGAUAACCAGCCUCUCCACCUGGACAGUGGGCCUUAAGCGAGCCUUCCCUUCUUGCAGCCAACUGAGGCAGCCGGCACCCUUGCUUGCCAGAUACCCUGAAGCGUUCUGGAAAAAGUCAGGGAAGACCCACAAGCAUGGGUCACUGUCAAACCAGAGAAAUUCCUCUGACUUUAGUUUUUUUUUUUUUUGCCCAGGUUGAUGUGGCUUAGGGCACAUGGCUUAUCCACAGUAUAAUCAUGAGAACCAAUAUUUACUAAGUCCUCACUCUGGGCCAGAAAUUCUUCUAAGCAUUUACCAACUCACUUAGACUUGCAAGAGCCUGUGAAACAGAUGUCAUUCUUGUCUCCAUUUGACAGAGGAGUGUUGCAGGUCUACGGAUCUCGGUGCAAUUUGUUCAGUAUAUGGAGCAAUGCAAUGAGUAUUCCAACCCUGAACAGCUGGGAAAGGAGAAAGAUGUGAAAAAUGAGGAGGGAUCCAGGUGGAAAGAAGAUGAAGAUCCAAUUUUUAUCCAAUGGCACAGAAGGCUCUUCAUGUCCAUGCUCUGUUAAUGUCACCUUCCCCAAGCCGUGUCUGCACCAACUGCCCUGCACAAACCGCCACAGGACACCCACAACCCUGCACCCUGCCCUAGUCUUCUCUGCAUUUUCCCUCAAGCUCCAUGUUGCCUGCCGAUGUCUGCUUUUACAAUUCCCUCUUUCCAGAGUAUUCCCUUCAACUUCCUCAUUCUCAUUUCAACUAAUUUUUACUGGUACUCCAGUCCUCAUCCUGCAGGGCACCCCUUUGGAGUCAUUUUCUGACCUGGAGGUUUUAUAGAAAAUGUUCCUCUCUGUUUACCCUAUCAUGGCAGUGGUUUGCCAUAGGACAAUUGCCUGCUAAUUUCUCUGUCUCCUUCAUUACCUGGAAGCUCCUGGAGGGCAGGAUUUAUAUAAUCUUCACCACUGUUUUCCUAGUAGUUAGGAGUACCCAACCAAUAACAGUCACUCAAUAAAUACUUUUUGAAUAAAUUGUUGCAAAUAAAUAGUAACCCUAGAAUAUUCAAGGUAACAAUGUUCUGUACAAUCACUGGAAGAAAACAGCUGUUUAGUACAUUUUGAAAAUAUUUCCAUCAAAACAGAUUCAAAUAAAAUCUUGGCACUUCAAUGGAAUAAGCUUCAGUUAACUGGAAAAAUAAUGUGCUUGCAAUGUGUUAACAGAAGAUGGUAAAU
rnacentral:lncRNA from 1 species